AGUGCUGGGGGGUCACUGAGUGUAACUCAGGGAAGGGCUGAGAGCCCCCCCUACAGGGCAUCACUUGGAUGGAGUGAGUGGGUACCCAGAAAGCUGGGGCCUGAUUGGCCAGAGAGUGCAGAAGAUGCAGCCUGGGCUUCUGCAGAUGCAUCAGGCCUGGCACUGCCCACAGCGGGCACAUUCAGCUCAAUGGCUGAGAGGGAACUGCCGGCGCUUUCCCAAUUCAGACGACUCUCCCUCCACG
ensembl:ribozyme RNaseP_nuc Nuclear RNase P